rnacentral:rRNA from 1 species
GUAGGUGGCAAGCGUUGUCCGGAAUUAUUGGGCGUAAAGCGCGCGCAGGCGGUUCUUUAAGUCUGAUGUGAAAGCCCACGGGCUCAACCGUGGAGGGUCAUUGGAAACUGGAGAACUUGAGUACAGAAGAGGAAAGCGGAAUUCCACGUGUAGCGGUGAAAUGCGUAGAGAUGUGGAGGAACACCAGUGGCGAAGGCGGCUUUCUGGUCUGUAACUGGCGCUGAGGCGCGAAAGCGUGGGGAGCAAACAGGAUUAGAUACCCUGGUAGUCCACGCCGUAAACGAUGAGUGCUAAGUGUUAGGGGGGUUUCCGCCCCUUAGUGCUGCAGCUAACGCAUUAAGCACUCCGCCUGGGGAGUACGGCCGCAAGGCUG